UACGAAGGUCCCAAGCGUUGUUCGGAAUCACUGGGCGUAAAGGGAGCGUAGGCGGCGUGGUAAGUCAGAUGUGAAAUCCCGGGGCUCAACCCCGGAACUGCAUCCGAUACUGCCAUGCUUGAGGGUUGGAGAGGUAGCUGGAAUUCUCGGUGUAGCAGUGAAAUGCGUGGAUAUCGAGAGGAACACUCGUGGCGAAGGCGGCUCACUGGACCACAACUGACGCUGAGGCGCGAAAGCUAGGGGAGCAAACAGG
rnacentral:rRNA from 1 species